AGAGUUUGAUCAUGGCUCAGGACGAACGCUGGCGGCGUGCCUAACACAUGCAAGUCGAACGCUCUUGCGCAAGCAAGAGAGUGGCGGACGGGUGAGGAACACGUGGGUUAUCUACCCGAAGGUGAGGAAUACCGGCGAGAAAUCGCCGACAAUACCGCAUGCGCUUCGCAAGAAGUAAAGUCGCAAGACGCCUUUGGAUG
rnacentral:rRNA from 1 species